rnacentral:rRNA from 1 species
AGCGAACGCUGGCGGCAGGCCUAACACAUGCAAGUCGAACGAACCCUUCGGGGUUAGUGGCGGACGGGUGAGUAACACGUGGGAACGUGCCUUUAGGUUCGGAAUAACUCAGGGUACCUCGUGCUAAUCCCGAAUGUGCCCUUCGGGGGAAAGAUUUAUCGCCUUUAGAGCGGCCCGCGUCUGAUUAGCUAGUUGGUGAGGUAAUGGCUCACCAAGGCUACGGUCAGUAGCUGGUAUGAGAGGAUGACCACCCACAUUGGGCCUGGGCCACGGCCCAAACUCCGCCGGGAGGCAGCAUUGGGGGACCUUGCGCAACGGGCGCAAGCCUGACGCAGCCAUGCCGCGUGGAUCAUGAAGGUGUCAGGAUUGUAAAAUCCUUUCACCGGUGAAGAUAAUGACUGUAGCCGGAGAAGAAGCCCCGGCUAACUGCGUGCCAGCCGCCGCGGUAACAC